AUAUGGUUUAAUAUUGCAUGAUUAUUUUAUUUUCAGGUAAACUGGUCUGAUUAAUUAGAUAUAAAUAAAAUAAAUGCAAUGCAGUAAUUUUGCUUUUUAGGCUUGCUACAACAAUUGUGUUGCACUUUGUCAUCAUUUUAUCAGAUUACCUACUUUAUUCAAUAAUUAGUAAUGAUUUUUUUAUAAUUUUAAACUUUUUAUAUACAUAUUAAUUCCAAUUCUAUAUAAAAAAAACAUCAAGACUUAUGUAUAAUAACUGUAUCAUCACGCUAUCAGACCAUCUAAUAUUAGUAAUUUAUUAACUAGUGCUGAUGUAGCUCAAUGACGUUCUGUAUAUUUUCCAUAAAUGUGAUAGUACAUAUAAAUAUAGAUUCAUUUUUCAUUGAACUCUAGAGUUUUUUAGAUCUAUGAUUACAGUUAUAUAACUAAUUCUUAAACAAUUUGUGUAUGUGUCAAUUCAUUUUUUCAACUGUUACCUAUUCAACGUGAACGUACAAUUCAAGAUUUGUUCAGCAAACAAGUAGAUUAAUACCUACUAUUAAAUAGUAAGCAACGUCUACAAACUGAACACACAUUGACAAUUGAAGAUUUGUACAAUAAUCUUAUGAAAAUAUCGGCAAUAACAUCUUAAGCAGUGUAUACAAACUGAACACACAUUGAUAAUUGAAGAUUUGUACAGUAAUCAAAAUGAACAACAGUAACAUACAAAAACCGAAUAAUAAAAUAAUAAUUAUUGAUUUUGAAUUCACAAACUAUCAACGUACUGAUUUAAUACUUAUUUCUGCAGCAAUAUCACAGACUCAUACUGAAUCAAAAAUUAAACGUUUGCGAGGUCGACCAUUAAUAAUAUCACCUGAUGGAAGAAUAACAUUAAUGAAUAAUUUUACCUAUUUAAAAACCAGAGAUUUGUUACUAAAAAUUUUUGAAAAGAAACCAGAUCAACUUCAAUAAAAUGCAGCGAAAUCUAGUUACAAAAAAAACACGUAUGAACAUAAUUGGAAGCGGACUCAUUCAGUUAGAUCGGUUUAAAAAAUGUUCAAAAACAAAUCAAAAUGCUGCAAAACAUUUCAUAAAGACCAUGAUAGAUAUAGGUACAAGGGUUUAUAAUCUUUACCAAGUAAAUAUAUCUAUGAAUAAAUUAACUAAUGAUGAGGAGCUUAAAUUUCAAAAUACAAAAAUAUGCGAUUGCUGUUCCAAAUCAUUUGAAAAAAAUAAAUUAAUUAAAGUAAGAGAUCAUAAUCAUUUUACAGGACGUUUCAGAUCAGUUGUUUGCUUAAAUUGUAACUUUGAAUUGUGUAACGUUUCGUUUCUACCGAUAUACUUUCAUAACUUAGCCUAUGACAGUCAUUUCAUUGUUCGUGAACUUGGAUGUAAUGAAAAUGAUAUUCAU
rnacentral:misc_RNA from 1 species